rnacentral:rRNA from 1 species
UGGAGAGUUUGAUCCUGGCUCAGGACGAACGCUGGCGGCGUGCUUAACACAUGCAAGUCGAGCGGAAAGGCCCCUUCGGGGGUACUCGAGCGGCGAACGGGUGAGUAACAC